UACGUAGGGUCCGAGCGUUGUCCGGAAUUAUUGGGCGUAAAGGGCUCGUAGGCGGUUUGUCGCGUCGGGAGUGAAAUCCGGGUGCAUAACACCUGGCUUGCUUUCGAUACGGGCAGACUGGAGGUAUGCAGGGGAGAGCGGAAUUCCUGGUGUAGCGGUGAAAUGCGCAGAUAUCAGGAGGAACACCGGUGGCGAAGGCGGUUCUCUGGGCAUGACCUGACGCUGAGGAGCGAAAGUGUGGGGAGCGAACAGG
rnacentral:rRNA from 1 species